rnacentral:misc_RNA from 1 species
GAUGAAGAACGUAGCGAAAUGCGAUAAGUAAUGCGAAUUGCAGAAUCCGUGAGUCAUCGAAUCUUUGAACGCACAUUGCGCCCUCUGGUAUUCCGGAGGGCAUGCCUGUUCGUGCGUCAUUAUCACCCCUCAAGCCCGGCUUGUUGUUGGAUGCAGCGCUUAUCCCGCUCCUCCCAAAGAUAAUGACGGCGUCUGCGACGACUCCUGUACACUGAGCUUUCGGGCACGUACACGGCUAGAAGUCCAGACCCGGUCGCCGUCCCCCCCGCGGGGACACCCAUUACCACAAGGUUGACCUCGGAUCAGGUAGGAAUACCCGCUGAACUUAAGCAUAUCAAUAAGCGGAGGA